rnacentral:sRNA from 1 species
UAAUCAAACCAGGCACCAAAAUGCUAACACUCCUUCCUGGAGAAAGAAAGGCUAAUAUUUAUUUUACUCAAAGAAGAGCUCCAUCUACAGGCAUUCACCAGAGAAGCAUUGCUUCCUUCUUCACCUUGCAGCCAGAUGUGUGAGCUUUUAAUCUCUGGCUGAUCUUAACCCACAUCAGCCUAAGCUUGGGAUGAUUACUCUUGACCCUUUUUUUUCAGUGAUUAGCAAAUCUCCCCACAACCCAGGUGUGGAGAGAAGAGAGGUAGAAUGGUGCUAGUUUCCUAUUUUAUUUUUGUGGUAACUGUACAGCACUUUAAAGUUAUAUACUCUAUGUUUAAAUAUCUCCCUUAAAAAGCCUGAGCUGUAUAACAAUCUGGAUGUGACUCUGUUACCCUUUUCCCACAAGAUAGGAGGGAAUCCCCUUUGUAAAACUAUGAAUCCAAAUAAAUGUUUACAAAGUG